UACGUAGGGUGCAAGCGUUAAUCGGAAUUACUGGGCGUAAAGCGUGCGCAGGCGGUUUUGUAAGUCUGUCGUGAAAAUCCCCGGGCUCAACCUGGGAAUUGCGAUGGAGACUGCAAGGCUGGAGUCUGGCAGAGGGGGGUAGAAUUCCAACGUGUAGACAGUGAAAUGCGUAGAGAUGUGGAGGAACACCGAUGGCGAAGGCAGCCCCUGGUCGAAGAUUGACGCUCAUGCACGAAGCGUGGGGAGCAAACAGGAUUACGAAACCGUAGUC
rnacentral:rRNA from 1 species